CGAACUCCACCUGGAUGGGCCCGUAGCACCCGGAGGUCUUCUCAGGCCAGUACUGCAUACAGAACUGGGAUAAGGAAAGAGGUCACAGAAAGAGGUCAAAGGCAAGAGGAAACCAGCAAGGAACUGAGCUUGGCUCCCUGGCUCACAUAGACAAGGAACAGAGAUCACAAAUGUGAGUGGAGGAGCCAGACUUUUCAUAUAAGCACAUGGAAAACUUGUGAAGUUGGCUGAUCCAAGAAUAGAUUCAAAUUCUUCAGCCAAGAGUCUAGACCAACUGACUUUUUCCACCUUGUUGCCUAGUAAGUACUCUCUCCUACCCUUUCUUUUGCAGUGGUCUGAGGGUGAAAGGUGAAGGGAGGGCUUUACCACUGCAGAUACAUACAGGUAGUGGCGAUGAACACACUGGGAGGGGAAGUCAGUCCACUUGUUGUUAAUGAGUUAGAAAUAAUCAUGCUUCUUCCAAAAAAACAGAGGGGACUUUUGAUGUCUUUUGUCAGAACAAGUUAAACCAAGCAAAAUGGUGAAGUCUGUGUGGACAGCCCUGGAACAGCUGCCAUACAUUAUUCCACGUAGUGCUCUCCAUAGUUGUUUGGACCAUGAAAAGAUGUCCUUGGGGGGUGUAAGUUCACGCGUGAUAUAUAACAAAUACAGAGGUAGCCUCAUGUGUUAAACAUGUUUUUCUUGCUGAGGGAAUCAGAAAACUGGUUAGUCACUGGAAUAAACAUGCUCUGAUGAAUUGAAUGAAAACUAGCAUAUGAGUCUAUUUUUGGAAUAAACAUUUUUAGAGCAUAUUUCAGUACACCUUAGUUAUGCCUUUCUUUAAUUAAAAAUACUUUGAUAAAAUGGAAAGGCCAAGUAAUAUCAUAG